CCUACGGGAGGCAGCAGUGAGGAAUAUUGGUCAAUGGACGAGAGUCUGAACCAGCCAAGUAGCGUGAAGGAUGACUGCCCUAUGGGUUGUAAACUUCUUUUAUAUGGGAAUAAAACGUUCCACGUGUGGGAUUUUGUAUGUACCAUAUGAAUAAGGAUCGGCUAACUCCGUGCCAGCAGCCGCGGUAAUACGGAGGAUCCGAGCGUUAUCCGGAUUUAUUGGGUUUAAAGGGAGCGUAGGUGGAUUGUUAAGUCAGUUGUGAAAGUUUGCGGCUCAACCGUAAAAUUGCAGUUGAAACUGGCAGUCUUGAGUACAGUAGAGGUGGGCGGAAUUCGUGGUGUAGCGGUGAAAUGCUUAGAUAUCACGAAGAACUCCGAUUGCGAAGGCAGUUCACUGGACUGCAACUGACACUGAGGUUCGAAAGUGUGGGUAUCAAACAGGAUUAGAUACCCCUGUAGUC
rnacentral:rRNA from 1 species